rnacentral:rRNA from 1 species
UACGGAGGAUGCAAGCGUUAUCCGGAAUGAUUGGGCGUAAAGCGUCCGCAGGUGGCAAUGUAAGUCUGCUGUUAAAGAGUCUAGCUCAACUAGAUAAAAGCAGUGGAAACUACAUAGCUAGAGUACGUUCGGGGCAGAGGGAAUUCCUGGUGGAGCGGUGAAAUGCGUAGAUAUCGUUUGGAACGCCAAUGGUGAAAACAAGUAGCUGGGGAUGUGCCGACGCUGAGACACGAAAGCCAGGGGAGCGAACGGG